UUCCCAUUUGGUCAUUUCCCCCUCUUUCUUCAAUGGAAAAGUUCUUCAAUUAAUCCACCCUUCACACCAAAAAUCACCAUCCCCUCCUUCUUCUGCUUCUUCUAUCUAUGAUGUUUGCCAACAACCACACCAACGUAUCGAUCACCGUUUCCGACGAAGAACCCGACGAACUCGGUCGUAUGCGCGUCCGUGCUCGCCGGAAACGGAAGAAACUCAGCAACAGAAGGCUACUCCGGCGGCUCUUUGUGAGGUACUGGACACUUCUCGUCAUUAUCCCCGCCGCGUGCUUGCUCUUCUUCGAAGCUUCUAGAAUCGCCCGCUACAAUUCUUCCAGCUCCAAUAACGUGGAUUCGGAAACACUUACAGAAACUACGCGUGAUAAUCGCGUUGUCAAUGAAUCGAAACCCGCGGUGGGAAAGGGAAUGGGAGUGGAGCAACAUAAGAACUUGAAUCGCCUUGAUCCAACUACUCAUGUUGUUGGUGGUGUUAGAGAACGUUGCUUGAAGAUCCUACCACCUGAAAAGCUUGAGACCCUGGAUUUUCCUGAGGAGAAAGAAUCAGGUGGCCCUAUCGAUGAAGUUUUAUAUAUGUUGUCAGAGAGUGAUGCAUCUUUUGUAGGAGGAAAUACUACACUGUCUCAGUUACGUACAGAAGACAUAAGAUUUAAUUACUUUACUGGGAAUCAAACUUUUGAGGAGAGAGAUAGAAGUUUUGAGAUGAAGAAAACUGUGAAAGUACAUUGUGGGUUCUACAGUGUUAAUGGAGGAUUUAAAAUAUCUGAUGAAGAUAAGAGUUACAUGCAAGCUUGCAAAGCUGUGGUAUCAACUUGUGCAUUUGGUGGUGGUGAUGAUCUAUAUCAACCGAUUGGAAUGGCUAAGGCUUCGAUUCAGAAGGUUUGCUAUGUAGCAUUCUGGGAUGAAAUUACUGUAAAAGCACAGGAAUUAGUAGGAUGUAGAAUUGGACAAAAUGGAUUUAUUGGGAAAUGGCGUGUUGUUGUCGUUCAGGAUCUUCCUUUUUCUGAUCAAAGGUUGAAUGGUAAAAUUCCCAAGAUGUUAAGCCAUCGCCUUUUUCCUCAAGCUAAGUAUUCUAUUUGGGUAGACGCCAAGUCCCAAUUUAGGAGGGAUCCACUAGGUGUUUUGGAAGCCCUACUUUGGCGCUCGAAUUCGAUACUUGCCAUAUCUGAACAUGGAGCUCGAAGUAGUGUCUAUGAUGAGGCUAAGGCUGUUGUCAAGAAGAACAAAGCCAAGCCAGAGGAAGUUGAAGUGCAAUUGAAUCAAUACAAAAAAGAUGGCUUGCCUGAAGACAAGAGAUUUAAUGGAAAGAAAGCUCUAUGUGAAGCCUCUGUUAUCGUGAAGAAGCACACACCGCUAACUAAUCUGUUGAUGUGUGUCUGGUUUAAUGAGGUUGUGCGCUUCACUUCUCGGGAUCAGCUCAGCUUCCCAUAUGUUCUGUGGCGGCUGAAAGCAUUCAAAAACAUCCAUAUGUUCCCUGUCUGUACCCGGAAGGAUCUUGUCAAUAGCAUGGGACACAUCCGCAAGGCAAAACCAUUGCAAGGCUGACCUGAUUUAGUUAAAUGCCCACUAGGGUUAUUAGUGGCGUGAGGAAGCAACAGAAUAUGCCUUUACACGAGCGGAUCAUACCGUACCUGGAGACCGCGGGGUUGUAUCAUUUGGUUAGGUUGAACAGUCACUGGUUCUGGGUUGACGAUCCUCUACUUAGCGCAUUUAUUGAGCGGUGGCAUCCUGAGACCCACACCUUCCACAUGCCCUUUGGUGAGUGCACUAUCACGUUGCAAGAUGUGGCAUAUCAGCUUGGUUUGCCGAUCGAUGGGCAGCCUGUCAGUGGGUGCCUGACUGAGUUUGAGAAUCUGAUGGAACACGGUAGACCGGCAUGGGUCUGGUUUCGCGAGUUGUUUGGGGAGUUACAUCCGCAGAAUAAGGUAAAGCAGAUGACAGUGUGCUACACAUGGUUCCAUGAGAGGUUCCGAGUUCUUCCAGCAGAUGCUAGUGAGGAGACCGUGCGUAUAUACGCGCGUACUUAUAUUCUGAUGCUGUUGUCCUCUCAGCUGUUCGCGGACAAGAACGCGAACCGGGUCCAUCUUUGCUGGUUGCCUUAUUUGGCAUCGUUGGACGAGUUGGGGAGAUAUAGCUGGGGUUCGGCGGCACUAGCCUAGUUAUAUAGAUGUCUCUGUCGUGGGACAAACAGAAAUGUCGUUAACUUGGCCGGGCCGCUACAGCUUCUACAGUCUUGGAUUUUCUGGAGGUUUUCCACUUUGAGGCCUGCUGGGUUUCAUGGAUUUGGGUUUUUGCUUGCAUCCAGGUGGGCUACAUAUCUACCUAGAAACGAUGCAGUGGGUCAAAGAGUCCUGUCUGCACGCCUUAGUUGACCUCAACGAGCCUGCAGCAUCUCCUUCUGACCCAUGGAUCCCGUUAGGUGGCACACCAGCUUUAGCAUUCAGCGCCAUUCCCCAAGAGACAGCAGCACCAGAGGCGGACCAGAGACCUAGGAAGGUGAGGCGUCCUCCUUUGUGUGGCACUGGGGGUCAUCUUCUUGGUCACUUCGACGAUGAUGACAGUGAUACCAUUAAGAAUUCUGAUUAGUUAUGUUUUAUAUACCCGUGUUAUUUUAUUUACUUAGUAUGAUGUUUAGGGUGAUAUGUUUCGAAAUUCUGUGAAAUAUUAUA